GAGACAGAGGGGAAAGAGAGGGAAGAUCGAUCCCACCGUGCAAACCCGUCUUUCGAUAGCGUCGCCUCUAGCUAGUUGUCGAACAAAGCGUCCCGCCGCACCGUGCAAGAAUUCGCUCGACAGCCGCUUAGACCGUGAAGCGUGCGUUGUGUAACGGGGGCGGCUCCUCGGGAUUCAUCGUGAAACUUUCAGUUACAUACUCUACCUUUUGCAACAGUUUAAGUAACGAGAAUUGGAUCCACCUGUAUAGAACGCUCUAUGAAGAAACUGGAAAGGGCUUCUAGCUGAAGUUACAAAU